AAACUUUCAACAACGGAUCUCUUGGUUUUGGCAUCGAUGAAGAACGCAGCGAAAUGCGAUAAGUAAUGUGAAUUGCAGAAUUCAGUGAAUCAUCGAAUCUUUGAACGCACAUUGCGCCCCUCGGUAUUCCGGGGGGCAUGCCUGUUCGAGCGUCAUUU
rnacentral:rRNA from 1 species